rnacentral:rRNA from 1 species
AUUGAACGCUGGCGGCAGGCCUAACACAUGCAAGUCGAACGGUAACAGGGAUCAGCUUGCUGAUUCGCUGACGAGUGGCGGACGGGUGAGUAAUGUCUGGGAAACUGCCUGAUGGAGGGGGAUAACUACUGGAAACGGUAGCUAAUACCGCAUAACGUCGCAAGACCAAAGAGGGGGACCUUCGGGCCUCUUGCCAUCGGAUGUGCCCAGAUGGGAUUAGCUAGUAGGUGGGGUAACGGCUCACCUAGGCGACGAUCCCUAGCUGGUCUGAGAGGAUGACCAGCCACACUGGAACUGAGACACGGUCCAGACUCCUACGGGAGGCAGCAGUGGGGAAUAUUGCACAAUGGGCGCAAGCCUGAUGCAGCCAUGCCGCGUGUAUGAAGAAGGCCUUCGGGUUGUAAAGUACUUUCAGCGGGGAGGAAGGGAGUAAAGUUAAUACCUUUGCUCAUGGACGUUCCCGCAGAAGAAGCACCGGCUAACUCCGUG